GGAAUGCGAAAGACAUGCGAGUCGAGAGACAUUUGGUCUCGGCGGACCGCUCAGUAACACGUGGACAACAUGCCCUAAGGUGGGGGAUAAUCUCGGGAAACUGAGGAUAAUACCCCAUAGGUCUAAUCUGCUGGAAUGCUUUUAGGCCGAAAACUCCGGUGCCUUAGGAUUGGUCUGCGGUCUAUCAGGGUAGUGGGUGUAAUGGACCCACUAGCCCGUGACGGAUAUGGGCCUUGAGAGAGGGAGCCCAGAGAUGGACUCUGAGACAUGAGUCCAGGCCCUACGGGGCGCAGCAGUCGCGAAAACCGCAAUGGGGGAAACCCCGACGAGGGAAUUCCAAGCGCCAGCAUUUAAUGUUGGCUGUUCUUUUGUCUAAAAAACAUGAGAAGUAAGGGGCGGGUAAGACGGGUGCCAGCCGCCGCGGUAAUACCCGCGCCCCAAGUGGUGGUCGAUAUUAUUGAGCCUAAAACGUCCGUAGCCGGUUUUCUAAAUCCUUGGGUAAAUCGGGCAGCUUAACUGUCCGAAUUCCGGGGAGACUGGGAGACUUGGGACCGGGAGAGGUCAGAGGUACUUCUGGGGUAGGGGUAAAAUCCUGUAAUCCUGGAAGGACCACCGGUGGCGAAGGCGUCUGACUAGAACGGAUCCGACGGUGAGGGACGAAGCCCUGGGGCGCAAACGGGAUUAGAUACCCCGGUAGUCCAGGGUGUAAACGCUGCGGGCUUGGUGUUGGGGGUCCUUAGUGGGCGCCCAGUGCCGGAGAGAAGUUGUUAAGCCUGCUGCUUGGGGAGUAUGUCCGCAAGGAUGAAACUUAAAGGA
rnacentral:rRNA from 1 species